rnacentral:rRNA from 1 species
UAAUACGGAGGGUGCAAGCGUUAAUCGGAAUUACUGGGCGUAAAGCGCACGCAGGCGGUUUGUUAAGUCAGAUGUGAAAUCCCCGGGCUCAACCUGGGAACUGCAUUUGAAACUGGCAAGCUAGAGUCUCGUAGAGGGGGGUAGAAUUCCAGGUGUAGCGGUGAAAUGCGUAGAGAUCUGGAGGAAUACCGGUGGCGAAGGCGGCCCCCUGGACGAAGACUGACGCUCAGGUGCGAAAGCGUGGGGAGCAAACAGGAUUAGAUACCCUGGUAGUCCACGCCGUAAACGAUGUCGAUUUGGAGGUUGUGCCCUUGAGGCGUGGCUUCCGGAGCUAACGCGUUAAAUCGACCGCCUGGGGAGUACGGCCGCAAGGUUA